AGCCACGCAGUGAGCACAAAGCGAACUAUUCUUUCGCCUUUUACUAAAGAAUACCGUGUGCGCGCUGCAAUUAGUGGCAUACGCCAAUUUUUGGAGGGGUUCUCUAUUUGUGACCCC
rnacentral:snRNA from 2 species